rnacentral:rRNA from 1 species
GGCUCAGGAUGAACGCUGGCGGCGUGCUUAACACAUGCAAGUCGAACGAAGCGAUUGUGAUUGAGAUUUCGGUUGAUUGAUCAAUUGACUUAGUGGCGGACGGGUGAGUAACGCGUGGGUAACCUGCCUCGUACAGGGGGGAUAACAGUUAGAAAUGACUGCUAAUACCGCAUGAAACUGUAGUACCGCAUGGUACAUCAGUCAAAGAUUUAUUGCUGAAAGAUGGCCUCGCGUCUGAUUAGCUAGUUGGUGGGGUAACGGCCCACCAAGGCGACGAUCAGUAGCCGGACUGAGAGGUUGACCGGCCACAUUGGGACUGAGAUACGGCCCAGACUCCUACGGGAGGCAGCAGUCGGGAAUAUUGCGCAAUGGAGGAAACUCUGACGCAGUGACGCCGCGUAUAGGAAGAAGGUUUUCGGAUUGUAAACUAUUGUCAUUAGGGAAGAACAAAGACAGUACCUAAGGAGGAAGCCCCGGCUAACUAUGUG